rnacentral:lncRNA from 1 species
UGGAGGAUGGUAAUGAUGUUUAGGAGAUCACAGCUGGGCAAAGGGUGAAAACAACGCUGGGAGGUCGAAAGGCUGCAGAACCCAUUACCCAUCUCCCGAUAGCCAUUCCGAUGGAAGGCCCUGACAAACGACUCCCUGCAAAGCCGGAUAAGCCCUCUGCAUCCAUCGGCUAAUGCCAGGCAAGGCGGGAAUGCGAUGAGGGCUGGCUGGAGGCAGGGCUGCCAGGAAGGGAGGGUCUGUGAAGUGCGAACACACUCACUGGUUUUGGGGAAAGGGUGAACAACCCAGUGAGCACUGCAUGUUAGGAACAGACACUGCCUCCCUAAGUGACUGACCCUCAAUAAAAACCUUGGACGCCGAAGCUCAGGUGAACUUUCCCAGCUGAACCUUGGACCCGGAGGCUCAGCUGUCGAGGAUGCCCUGAUGUCUGUUCUCACAUCACAUUGCGCUCCAAGUACCCCGGCUGCAACCAGAGCUCAGCAAACCGGGACCAGAGGGCACAUCCACCCUGCCUGCCCAUGUCAACAGAGUUGUGUGGGAGCCAGCCGGCCCCCAGGAAGACCCCAGAUCUUCCUGCCCCUGACCACAGCUCUGUCCCUGGAAGCAUAUGCUGCAGACACUUGCUCUGCUGCAGAUUUUCUGCACAACCCCUCCUCAUGGGGGAAGGUUUGGUACCUGAAUGAGGCCUCUUUUGACCUCUAUUCCUAUCACUAUUUUUGGUGACCUCAAUAUUUAUGAAGGUAAUAACUUGGUCUUUAAUCCAGACAAUUUUCACCUCC